rnacentral:rRNA from 1 species
GUGGGGAAUUUUGGACAAUGGGCGCAAGCCUGAUCCAGCAAUGCCGCGUGUGUGAAGAAGGCCUUCGGGUUGUAAACCGCUUUUGUCAGGGAAGAAAUCCUUUGGGUUAAUACCUCGGAGGGAUGACGGUACCUGAAGAAUAAGCACCGGCUAACUACGUGCCAGCAGCCGCGGUAAUACGUAGGGUGCGAGCGUUAAUCGGAAUUACUGGGCGUAAAGCGUGCGCAGGCGGUUUUGUAAGAUCGAUGUGAAAUCCCCAGGCUCAACCUGGGAACUGCAUUGGUGACUGCAAGGCUGGAGUGCGGCAGAGGGGGAUGGAAUUCCGCGUGUAGCAGUGAAAUGCGUAGAUAUGCGGAGGAACACCGAUGGCGAAGGCAAUCCCCUGGGCCUACACUGACGCUCAUGCACGAAAGCGUGGGGAGCAAACAGGAUUAGAUACCCCAGUAGUCC